GACGAACGCUGGCGGCGUGCCUAAUACAUGCAAGUAGAACGCUGAAGCUUGGUGCUUGCACCGAGCGGAUGAGUUGCGAACGGGUGAGUAACGCGUAGGUAACCUGCCUGGUAGCGGGGGAUAACUAUUGGAACCGAUAGCUAAUACCGCAUAACAGUAGAUAUCGCAUGAUAUGUGCUUGAAAGGUGCAAUUGCAUCACUACCAGAUGGACCUGCGUUGUAUUAGCUAGUUGGUGAGGUAACGGCUCACCAAGGCAACGAUACAUAGCCGACCUGAGAGGGUGAUCGGCCACACUGGGACUGAGACACGGCCCAGACUCCUACGGGAGGCAGCAGUAGGGAAUCUUCGGCAAUGGACGGAAGUCUGACCGAGCAACGCCGCGUGAGUGAAGAAGGUUUUCGGAUCGUAAAGCUCUGUUGUAAGAGAAGAACGAGUGUGAGAGUGGAAAGUUCACACUGUGACGGUAUCUUACCAGAAAGGGACGGCUAACUACGUGC
rnacentral:rRNA from 1 species